UCUGCUUAUGUGGCUUGUCCUUCUCUUGCCACGUGUUUAGAUGUCAUUGUCCUUAAUGCCAUGUUGAGCUCCAGCACGUUGGGUUUUAGUAUUUGAAUUAUGUAUUGGGCCCUAAGUGGUGGGCUAUAUCCUUUGUGGGCUUACCCGUGUCAAAUAUGAAUUGGGAAAGAGGGGAAUUUGGGGACACCUUUGUAUCGACUUUCGCCGUUGCAGAUCGGCUAAGAAUGAGGAACUCAACUUCCACUUGAGUUCAAAGGGAAAAUUGGGAUUGAAUCAGAGACAGAUUUCUGAUCAGAUCGAAAAACCCAAAUGCGAAACAAAAGCUUAUGAUAUGAUUUAUGAUUUCAAGGAAUCAAACCACACACGCAAACCCAAAAAUGAGGAUUCUAGGUUGUUUAGGAUUUUCAGACCCAGUGUAUACAUUCAGUAUUUGAACGAGAGAGAGAGAAAGAGAAACAGAACACCACGCCGAAGAAUCACCGUGGUAAAGUACCGACGAAGAUCGCCACCGCUAGAUUGCCGCUGUCACAAAUCGCCGUUGAUGCAGUGAGAGGAUGACAGAGAGUGAGAAUUAGAAUCCUAGUCAUAAAUAGAGCAGUGACAACAUACGGGGAAAUGGGUGGAUACCCUUCCCAACCCGUCCACAGUGGAGGUUUUAAGAAAUCCACUUAUCCGACCUGAUGGUUUAGGAGGAAAAAAAAAAAAAAGAAAAAUUCAUAUAUUUCAAUCGGAUCUUCAUGGAUAUUUAGAGGGUAAAUUAUUUAUUGCCAUCUUAAAACUGGGUUUAGCUCCAAUCCAUAUUCUAGACCGGUCCAAUUUAAGCCCGUCGACUCCAAUUUAUUCAACUUAUAACUUUCAUAAGGAAAAACAAAUGGGAGACUUACCAGCUGGUCCCAUAGAAACAAAUUAAUACCCACCAAGUCCUGUCCUAUUUCAGUUUCCAAUUUUACCCCUCAAUGUCACACCACACGUGUAAAGCAAAGAAGAUAUCAUGAGCUCUCCCCUGUGCGCGUGACACACACGCUCCUUCUCAAUUGUUCUGAUUUGGAAACCAUUCUGAGCCGAUUUGGAAACUAUUCUGAGGCGAUUUGCAAUUUGGAAAUCGAAACAAAUGAAGAGAUUUUCCCUGAAUCUCCCAUCGUUUUCAAAGAAAUCACCUCUCUUUCGAUCUAUAUUCUGAUUCCGAACAGAUCUCCAGCAAAUCUUCCACCGUUUCGAUCUAUAUUCCCUGUUUAGUUUAUCUUCAACAAACAUGCGAAUCAAACAUGUUCCUAGUCAUCGUAAAAGAUUACGUCGUCGAGAAACAAGUUUCUCAAAGAAGAAAAAGAUUGAAAAAGUUGAGUUUGUUAUAGAGCCAACAACACAUGAAAGUGAAAAUCAACUAGAAGUUAAACCUGAAUCUAACAUUGACAAUGAGGAGCCCAAACAGGAACAACUGAAACAAGCUACAGAGCUCCACAAAGCAAGAGAGAAGAAAAAGAUUGAUGGAAGAAAAACUAGGAUUGAACAGAUACAUGAUAAUGAAGCAAAGUAUGUCUACCGUUCUAACAUUCAAUCUCUUAUCAAAUUUUUCAAGACAGCAAAACUCAAAGAGGAGCAUUUGACACUAUUGAGAAAGACACCUUUUUCACUUCUAGUUGAUACAUUGAGUCAAAACAAGGUUAAAAGAAGAGAUUCAAUUAAAUAUGAUGAUGUGGUUGCAAAAAUUUUGCAAACUUACCAAAUUGAUGGAACCACAUUUGAAAUUGGUGGGAAGAAACUGAAGUUGAAAAGAAAUGAAUUCAAGUUAAUUUUUGGGAUUGCAUGUGGACAGAAGAAGAUGAAUCUUGCAUACAGAAGAAAAAAUGAGGUAGCUAUGGUGCAAAGAAGGAAAAUAGCCGAGAGCAGAAUGACAAGUGCUUUAAUCUAAAAGUUGAUAACGAAACUUUUGAGAAGCAACAACAAUGAAGAUGUAGAAGAUGUCGUUAGGCUUGUGUGCCUUUUGGUUUGUUUGCUUUUGUUGUAUCCGGGUACUGGGACAACAAUUGGUUGGGGGUUCAUGAAAUACCUCGAGAAUAUUGAUGAAAUGAAGUCUUAUGAUUGGUGUGGCGCAGCAAAACAACAUCUUACAAGAUCAAUAGCACGCAACAUCAACCAAAUUGAUAGAGUGUGCGGAUGUGUGAUCAUCUUAUUGUAUUGGAUAUGUGAGCAUAUAAAGAUUAUCAAACCAAAUGACAAGAAUGCAAUCCCAAGAUUUGCAAAAUGGAACAUCACACAUCUGGGAGAACAAUUGGCAAAGUCAUCCUUGCAUGAUCUGAAACAUAUUGAGAUGUUAUGAGCUCUCUCAUGACAUUAUCUAUGCCAGAAAGAAGAUCUUUAACUGCACAAACACAAAAGCAAGAAGAGAAAGACAACAAAGAGACAAAAAAAAAAAAUAGGAUAACAAAAAGGAAACAGCAACAAGAGAAACAACAAACAAACAACAACAAAGGAAGAAAAGACAAAGACAGCAAAAGGAUGAACCUGAAAAUCAAGCUCAAAAACAAGGAGAACAAAAAGAAAGAAUAACCAAACACCAACAAUAGAAACAAGCCGAAACAAGAACCAAGCCCCAACAAAACAAACAAGAACCAAAGCAGCACAAACCAAAAGGCAAGAAGAAAAUAAAGGGAAGAAAAACAAGAAAUGAUCAAAUUCAUGACCGUGAAGCAAAGUAUGUGUACCGCUCAAACAUGCUAUCCCUCAUCAGAUUCUUCAAUGCCACGAAACUUGAAAUUGAGCAUUUCCAAAUAUUGAAAAAGACUCCAUUCUUCUUUCUAGUUGACAUUUUGUCAAAAAAGAAGGUGCAAAAAGUAGAUUCAAUGAAAUAUGAUGAUGUGGUUGCAAAAAUCUUGCAAACAUACCAAAUGGAUGGAACCACAUUUCAAAUUGGAGGGAAGAAGCUAAAGUUGAAAAAAAAUGAUUUCAAGUUAAUUUUUGGGAUUGCAUGUGGACAAAAGAAGAUGAAUCUUGUAUAUAGAAGAAAAGAUGACAUAGAUCUGGUAAAAAGAAGGAAAAUAAGAGAGAAUAGAAUGACAAGUGCUUCAAUCCAAAAGUUGAUAACCAAACUUUUAAGAAGCAAGAAGAAGGAAGACAGAGAAGAUGUUGUAAGGCUUGUGUGCCUCUUGAUUUGCUUGCUGUUGUUAUAUCCUGGUACUGGCACUACAAUUGGUUGGGGGCUCAUGAAAUAUCUUGAGGAUAUUGACAAAAUGAAGUCUUAUGAUUGGUGCGACGCAGCAAAGCAACAUCUCACAAAAUCAAUAGAAAGAAACAUCAACCAAAUUGAUAAAGUGUCCGGAUGUGUGAUGGUCGUAUUGAUAAUAUUGGAUAUGCGAACACACAAGCACCAUCAAACCCAAUGCCAAAAAUGCAAUCCCAAGAUUUACUAAAUGGAACAUCACACGUUUGGGACAGCAAUUGGCAAGUUCAUCCUUGCAAGAUCUAAAAGAUAUUGUGGAGAAUAAUUUGAAGCACACAGAUAAAGAGAAAAAAAUAUACCGAAUGCUGCUAGAAGAAAUUGAGGAUAACGAUGAAGACGAAGAUGAAGAUGCUAAUUUUCAAUAACAAAAUCAGACUGAAAAUUCUGAAAAAGAAUAACAAACAUUCAUUGAAGACAAAUCCAAACAUGAAACAUGAGAACCAAUUCCACACAAAAUAUGCCCUGAAAAGAAAAUGAAAACAGUACCCUUUGAAUCACAAAAGAGUGAGGGAAACAAAGUUGACAAAGAGGUUGAAGUGGAUCCAAAUCUGGUAGAAGUACUUGUUUUUUAGUAGAUAGAAGAUGGCAUGCUCAAAAUGGAAAGGGACAUCCUUCAAACUGCAAAUGAUAACAUGCAGCAGCAACUCAAGAAGUUGAAAAAAGAAAUGCAAGAUCAGCACAAAAGCACAAAAAAUCAAAUGCAAAGAAAAGAUGAAGAAAUCAAAAUACUCCAUGAGAGAAUUGCAACAUUGGCUGAGGCAAACAAGUACUCAGAAGAAAAACACACACAAGAGCAGCCUGCAAUGAAGAAAUUGAAAAUUUCAAAUGAAAUUUUCAAUAUCCUACCAGAAAAAUCAAGGCAAAAUCCCAUUGCACAUUAGGCGAAUACAAAGAAAAAGGAUGAGCUAGUAUGGCAAGGAUCUGACCAUCCAACCUAUGUCUACUUAAAUGACAUUGACAAAAUAUUGAAGGGUCAAGAUUUGGCAGGCAUUGUAAGAGACGCAUAUACAGAACACUUGCUUGCACAAAAACAAGGAACAUCAUUCAUAUUCAUUUCAAGUUGCCAUCACUUGUUGACAACAAAAGAUAAGGAAGCAAGAAAGAGAAUGCUGAACAAAAUGAUGCGUGAAGCCAUGAAAGCAAGAUACCUUCUCUUCCCAAUCCACCAAAAUUUUCACUGGACAAUAUUUGUCCUUGACAUUGAAGAAGGUUCAUGGAAAUUCUACAAUUCCAUCAGACCAAGGGGAGCAAUGGCUAAAGAUCCACACUUCAAUGCCGCAAAUGAAGUGAACAAUUAUACAAAUGUAUAUGUUGCAAAGAGAGAUUAUUGACAAGUACAUAAAGGAUGAGAAGCCAACUCUCAUCCACCUUGAUAAAUUUCAACAGGAGACAGAGAGCGUCAUCAACAACCCAUAACAAGAAGACACGUUGCUUGAUUGUGGAAUCAUUGUUUGCUAUAUCAUGAGGCAAUAUGUUUCCAAAAACAACAUAAUGCCUACUUUUUCCAAGGAAGAAUGCAAUCAAUUGAGAGCCAAUAUGUUAACUAUCUUCUUGACUGACCAACAAGUUGCUCAACAACAAAUACCUGAGGAAAACAUUGAUGACUUGCCUCUGCAAUAAUCAACAGAUCUGGAAGAGAAGAAAACAAAAGGAAAUACUGAUUCAUUUGGUUGUUAGAAUGUCAAUACUGUAUACAUUUUGCUUGUUUGUUUGUUUGUUACAGUGUUACCAGUAUUUUGAUGAUUUUGGUUCUUACUUUCCUCUAAUGAAUAUUACAAUGCUUAGUUGUUACAAUGUCAAAGUUAUGGACAGUGCUUGGUUGUUACAAUGUCAAAGUUAUGGACAAUGCUUAAUUGUUACAAUGUCAAAUUUGCUUCAAUGAAACAUUCAGUCUUUUUUAGCCAUAUCGUUACCAGAUCUGGCUUUUGA